rnacentral:rRNA from 1 species
AGGGCACCACCAGGAGUGGAGCCUGCGGCUUAAUUUGACUCAACACGGGAAAACUUACCUGGUCCUGACACUAGAAGGAUUGACAGAUUGAUAGCUCUUUCUUGAUUUGGUGGAUGGUGGUGCAUGGCCGUUCUUAGUUGGUGGAGUGAUUUGUCUGGUUAAUUCCGAUAACGAACGAGACUCUAGCCUAUUAAAUAACACGCAGAAUCUUGUCUUCUGCGGUGUUUCUUAAUGGGAUCAAGUGUGUUUAACGCUUUGAAACAGAGCAAUAACAGGUCUGUGAUGCCCUUAGAUGUUCGGGGCUGCACGCGCGCUACAUUGAAAGACAAAAUGAGCCUUCUAGUUUUUAAUAAAGCUAGUAAUCUUUGAAUGUUUUUCUUAAUGGGGAUAGGGGAUUGCAAUUGUGCCCCUUGAACGAGGAACUCCCAGUAAGUGCUAAUCAUUAGUUAGUACUGAUUACGUCCCUGCCCUUUGUACACACCGCCCGUCGCUACUACCGAUUGAAUGGUUUAGUGAGAU